GAUGAACGCUGGCGGCGUGCCUAAUACAUGCAAGUCGAGCGAACGGACGAGAAGCUUGCUUCUCUGGUGUUAGCGGCGGACGGGUGAGUAACACGUGGAUAACCUACCUAUAAGACUGGGAUAACUUCGGGAAACCGGAGCUAAUACCGGAUAAUAUUUUGAACCGCAUGGUUCAAAAGUGAAAGACGGUCUUGCUGUCACUUAUAGAUGGAUCCGCGCUGCAUUAGCUAGUUGGUAAGGUAACGGCUUACCAAGGCAACGAUGCAUAGCCGACCUGAGAGGGUGAUCGGCCACACUGGAACUGAGACACGGUCCAGACUCCUACGGGAGGCAGCAGUAGGGAACCUUCCGCAAUGGGCGAAAGCCUGACGGAGCAACGCCGCGUGAGUGAUGAAGGUCUUCGGAUCGUAAAACUCUGUUAUUAGGGAAGAACAUAUGUGUAAGUAACUGUGCACAUCUUGACGGUACCUAAUCAGAAAGCCACGGCUAACUACGUG
rnacentral:rRNA from 1 species